GCUAAACGCGAAGAACCUUACCAGGCCUUGACAUGCAGAGAACUUUCCAGAGAUGGAUUGGUGCCUUCGGGAACUCUGACACAGGUGCUGCAUGGCUGUCGUCAGCUCGUGUCGUGAGAUGUUGGGUUAAGUCCCGUAACGAGCGCAACCUUGUCCUUAGUUACCAGCACGUUAUGGUGGGCACUCUAAGGAGACUGCCGGUGACAAACCGGAGGAAGGUGGGGAUGACGUCAAGUCAUCAUGGCCUUACGGCCUGGGCUACACACGUAGCUACAAUGGUCGGUACAGAGGGUUGCCAAGCCGCGAGGUGGAGCUAAUCUCACAAAACCGAUCGUAGUCCGGAUCGCAGUCUGCAACUCGACUGCGUGAAGUCGGAAUCGCUAGUAAUCGCGAAUCAGAAUGUCGCGGUGAAUACGUUCCCGGGUCUUGUACAC
rnacentral:rRNA from 1 species